rfam:Triticum urartu cultivar G1812 contig1333474, whole genome shotgun sequence.
AUUGAGUCUAGCCUGACGGGGCGAAAAGCGGCAAACCUUACCGCCUGACUCAAUCCCUUUUAAGUUUUAACG